UACGUAAGUGGCGAGCGUUAUCCGGAAUUACUGGGCGUAAAGCGUUCGUAGGCGGCGCCGCAAGUUGGAUUUUAAAGCCCGGGGCUCAACCCCGGAAUCGGAUCCAAAACUGCGGUGCUUGAGCAGAUCAGAGGGUAGUGGAAUUCCCGGUGUAGCGGUAAUAUGCGUAGAGAUCGGGAGGAACACCAGUGGCGAAGGCGGCUACCUGGGGUCUUGCUGACGCUGAGGAACGAAAGCUAGGGGAGCGAACGGGAUUAGAUACCCGCGUA
rnacentral:rRNA from 1 species